rnacentral:misc_RNA from 1 species
GAAAUGCGAUAAGUAAUGCGAAUUGCAGAAUUCAGUGAAUCAUCGAAUCUUUGAACGCACAUUGCGCCCGCUAGUAUUCUGGCGGGCAUGCCUGUCUGAGCGUCAUUUCAACCCUCGUCCCCCGUCUAGGCGGGAGGGCGGUGUUGGGGAUGGGCCUGCCUCCGGGCCGGCCCGCCCCUAAAUGUAGUGGCGACCACGCCGUAGCCUCCUCUGCGUAGUAGUAACUCACCUCGCGGGCGGAGAGCGGUGCGGCCUGCCGUAAAACCCCCUACUUUCUCAAGGUUGACCUCAGAUCAGGUAGGAAUACCCGCUGAACUUAA